rnacentral:misc_RNA from 1 species
CUCGAUCUCUCUACAACGCUAGCAACUCUACAACUCUCGUCUUCGGCAUCUGCACUCGCACGCUCUCGCUUCUCAACUCAUACUGCACGCCUUUUGCAUUCGUUCUCGCUGGCGUCUCAACUAACUCUACCCUUAGCGUCUCUUUGUCUUUUCUCGUCCCAUCGAACACGGGGUUUCGGGACACGUGUUCGAUGGGACGAGAAAAGACAAAGAGACGCUAAGGGUAGAGUUAGUUGAGACGCCAGCGAGAACGAAUGCAAAAGGCGUACAGUAUGAGUUGAGAAGCGAGAGCGUGCGAGUGCAGAUGCCGAA